CUGUGACAGAAGAUGUUCAUGGUUUGACUUUCUACUCUGUGUUUUUGUGCUCGAGUCGUGUCAAUAUAUAUAUAAUAGAUCAGGAUUCUUCUACACAACAGAUGAUGUGAAUGUUUCUGCACUUCACUCAUUUAUUCAAGAUGUUUAUCUUAAUGAGAGAAAUAAAUGCACAGAAGAACGAGAGAAAGUGAGAAAAUGACCAAAGAUCAACGAGUCAAUGAAGAAUCAAACAGUUUCAUGUUUCUUCGUCAAAGCAGCACAAAUAGUGGCCGACCAAACAUGUCUGCUGAUCUCAGACCUGUACAAACACAAUCUUAUGUAUCACAGACUGUUAAACAUGAGAAAACCACAUCAAGAUCUCUUCUGGAAGACUGUCUGAGACACGUUCAACUCAACUUUCAGCAUUUACGAUUGAAAAUGAAGCAAAACUUCACAAAUGAUAAUUUCUGGACUAAAAAGAAUAGUUUGAGAACAAAGACUUUAAAUGUUGUUUUAAAAUAUACUUUGUGCUUUUAUUGUUGAUUCUGUACAUUGAAAUGACUGUAUAUAUGCCCAAAAAUAAAACCAACUAUCUGA